AAGCAGCAGUGAGGAAUUUUUCACAAUGGGCGAAAGCCUGAUGGAGCAAUACCACGUGAACGAUGAAGGUCUUCUGAUUGUAAAGUUCUUUUAUUUAGGAAAAAAAGCAGGAUAGGAAAUGAUUCUGCCGUGAUUGUACUAAUUGAAUAAGUGACAGCUAACUAUGUGCCAGCAGCUGCGGUAAAACAUAGGUCACGAGCAUUAUCCGGAUUUAUUGGGCGUAAAGGAAGCGUAGGUGGAGGAGUUGAUCCAUUGUCAAAAGCAUCUGCUUAACAGGUGUCCGCGAUGGAUAUCGCUUCUCUAGAAUUAGUUAGGGGGUACUGGAAUUCAAUGUGUAGCGGUGGAAUGCGUAGAUAUAUUGAGGAACACCAGAGGCUAAGGCGAGUACCUGGGACAUAAUUGACACUGAGGCUUGAAAGCGUGGGGAGCAAAUGGGAUUAGAUACCCCAGUAGUCCACGCCGUAAACGAUGGGUAUUAGGUAUUUGGUUUAAAACUGAGUGCUGUAGCUAA
rnacentral:rRNA from 1 species